rnacentral:rRNA from 1 species
UACGGGGGGGGCAAGCGUUAUUCGGAAUUAUUGGGCGUAAAGGGCGCGUAGGCGGCUUUGCAAGUGGCGGGUGAAAUCCCUCGGCUUAACCGAGGAACUGCCUGCCAGACUGUGAGGCUUGAGACCGGGGAGAGGUGAGUGGAAUUCCCAGUGUAGCGGUGAAAUGCGUAGAUAUUGGGAGGAACACCAGUGGCGAAGGCGGCUCACUGGACCGGAACUGACGCUGAGGCGCGAAAAGCGUGGGGAGCAAACAGGG